ensembl:lncRNA
AAUGAUAUACGAUUAAAAUAUAAAGUCAAAAUCUAAAGCUGCCAAACUCUGGUUGAGUUGACACAGAAUGACCCUCGAGCAUCUACAGGCACCAAAAUGGAAUGGAAGUGACAAGGUCACAGAGAGUCCGGGUCAACAACACCUUCUCCGACCUCCGACACACCUCGACGGGCUCCCCUCAGGGCUGUGUGCUCUCACCUCUGCUCUUCAUCCUCUAUACAGAUGACUGCAGAUCCACACAGCCUCAGUGUCACCUGGUGAAGUACGCAGACGACACAGUUCUCCUGUCCCUGCUCUCAGGUCCUUCACAGCAGCAUGGAUCAGCUGUCCAGCAGUUUGUGGAGUGGUGCGACAGCUCAUGCCUUGAGAUGAAUAAACCGCCUGGAGAGUACGGCCAGAGUUUGCUCUAAAAUAAUUGGACUUUCAACAAGAACUCUCUCCUCCAUCCACGACCAGCAAACACUCCGCUUAGCCAACAGAAUUAUGCAGGACCCCUCACACGCUCUAAGGUGACCAGACGUCCCCGAUUUCCGGGGACAGUCCCCGUUUUCGGUGAUCUGUCCCCGGUCAAAGCUGUCCCCGGAAAUGUCCCCGAUUUUGACAGUGAAUGGGGGGAAAAUGCGCGCAGACUCAAACACCAGUUAUUACGGUAGUAAUUUAACGCAGCACCAGAGAAGACGUCGUAUGACGUACAGACGUUAUCAGGACGUGCGACCAGACGCAGCAGCGUCAACAACAACAAUCUAGAGGCGGCAAAAAGGAAAAGAGAAGAUCAGCGGUCUCAUAAAUGGUACGUUGUGUAUGAACUUAUUUAUUUUGUGUGAAUUGGCAGUAGACUUGGCUCUGUGUGUGUGUGUGUGUGUGUG